AAGCUGAAAGCUCAUGUGUCCUAUUGGCUUAUAAAAGAGUUUAAAGCUCACGUGUCCCUUCUGUUCAUAAAAGAGUUUAGUGCUCAUGUGUCCCUCUUACUUACAAAAGAGCGCAAUGCUCAUGUGUCACUCCUAAGCAAGAGCUUAAUGCUCACAUGUCCCUGGUGCUUAUAAAAGAGCUUAAAGCUCAUGUGUCCCGGUUGCUUAUAAAAGUGCUUAACACUCACGUGUCCUUGCUUAAGAAAGAGUUUAAUGCUCAUAACCCAAUGAUUACGAAAUAGCUUGAUGAUCAUGUGUGAAAGCGCUUAAUGCUCAAAUGUCCCUGUUGCUUAUCUAAAAACUUUCUCGAGUGUCCCUGUUGCAUAUGAAAAGAGCUUAAUGCGCACGUAUCCCUCAGAGCUGAUGCUCACAUGUCCCUCAUGUGUCCCUGUGGCAUAUGAAAGAGCUUACAGCUCACUUGUCCCUAUCAAUUAUAAAAGUGCUUAAAGCUCACUUGUGCCUAUUCCUUAUUAAAGCGCCUAAAGCUUACGUGUUCCCUGUUGCUGAUAAAAGAGUUUCAAGUUUACUUGCCCCCAUCGCUUAUAAAAGAGCUUAAAGCUCACAUAAAAUAGCAUGAAGCUCACUUGUCCUUGUGAAUUAUAAAAGAGUUUAGAGCUCACUUGUCGGUGUCGCUUAUAAAAGAGCUUAAAGCUCACUUGUCCCUCCCACUUAUACAAGAGCAUAAAGCUCACGUGUCCUGGUUGCUUGUAAAAUAGCUUAUAGCUGACUUGUCCCUCUCUCUCGCUCUCUUAUAAAAGAGCUUAAACCUCACGUCUCCCUGUCACUUAUGAAAGAGCAUUCAGCUCACUUGUCUAUGUCACUUAUAAAGAGCUCAAAGCUCAUGUGUCUAUGUCCCUUAUAAAAGAGCAUGAAGCGCACGUGUCUCUGUGGCCUAUAAAAGAGCUUAAAGCUCACUUCUCCCUGUUGCUUAUCAAAGAGCUUAAAAGUUACUUGUCCCUCCCCAUUUGUAAAUGUCCCUGUCGUUUAUAAAAUUGCAUAUAGCUCAUGUGUCCUUGAUGCUUGUAAAAGAGCUUAAAGCUCACGUGUCUAUAUCGCUUAUAAAAGAGCUUAAAGCUCUAUAUCGCUUAUAAAAGGCUUAAAGCUCAUGUGUCUCUAUUGCUAAGGCUCAUGUGUCCCUAUUGUUUAUAAAAGAGCUUAACGGCACAGUUACUCUUGCUUAUAAAAGAGCUUAAUGCUCAUUUAUCCUAAUGAUUAUGAAGUAGCACAAUGCUUAUGAAAGAACUUGCUCAAAUGUCCAUGUUGCUUAUGAAAAGCGUCUAAUGCUCAGGUAUCACUCAUAGCUUGAUUCUCACAUGUCCCUACUGCUUAUGAAAGAGCUUAAAGCUCACUUAUCGUGUGGCUUAUGAAAGAGCCUAAAGCUCACUUGCCCUUGUUACUUAUAAAAUAGCAUAAAGCUCACUUGCCCAUGCUGCUUAUUGAAAAACUUUAAAGCUCACUUGUCCCUGUCAUUUGUAAAAGAACUUAAAGCUCACUUAUCCUCAUUGUUAAUUGAAGAGCUUAAAGAUAAAGCUCACUUAGGUCCCUCUGCAUAUUAAACACUAAAGCUCGCGUGUCCCUAUGGCUUAUAGAAAGCUUGAAGGUUAGUUGUCCCAGUCUCUUAUAAAAGAGUUUAAAGCUGACGCUCCCUGUUGCUUAUAAAAGAGAUUAAAAUAAUCUUGUCCAUGUCCCUAAUAGAACAUCUUAAAGUCACAUAAAAGAGAUGAGCUCACGUGUCCAUAUGGAUAUAAAAUAGCAUAAAGCUCAACGUUUCCUUCCCAUUUAUGAAAAAGCUUAGAGGUCACUUGUCUCUCUCGCUUAUAAAAGGGCUUAAAGCUCACGGGUCCCUGUUGUUUAAUAUAAGAGCUUAAAGUUCACCUUUCUCUGCCACUCGUAAAAGACCGUAAAGCUUACUUGCUCCUGCCGCUUAUAAAAGAGCGUAAAACUCACUUGUCCCUGUCAUUUAUGAAAGAGUUUUAACGAUCACUUGUUCCCAUCAUUAAUUAAAGAGCUUGAAGCAUAACGCUCACUUGUCCCUGCUGCUUAUUAAACAACAUAAAGCCCACUUGUCCCUCUGGCUUAUGGAAAAGCUUAAAGGUUGCUCGUCCCUGUCUCCUAUAGAAGAGUUUAAAGCUCAUGUGUCCAUGUUGCUACUAAAAUAACUUAAAGCUCACAUAACAGAGCAUGACGCUCACAUAUCCCGAUGUUGAUUAUAAAAGAGCUUAAAGCUCACUUGUCCUCGUCGCUUGCAAAAGAGCUUAAAGCUCACUUGUCCUCGUCGCUUGCAAAAGAGCUAAAGCUCACUUGUCCCCCAACGCCCCCGCUUAUAAAGAGCUUAAAAGCUCACUGUCUCUGCGCUUAUAAAGAGUUAAAGUUCUGGGGUCUGUAUAAAAGAGCUUAAAGCUCACUUGUCCCCUCGUUUAUAAAAAAGAGCAUAAAGGUCACAUGUCUUUAUCGCUUCUUAAAGAGCUUAAAGCUACUUGUCCCUAUGGCUUAUAAAAGAGCUUGAAGCUCAUUCGUCCUGCUGUUAAAAGAGUAUGAAGUUCACGUGUCCCUGUGGCUCAUAAAAGAGCUUAAACUUUGCUUCUCCCUGUAGCUUAUAAGGCGUAAAGAACUAUGUCAGUGUUCCUAUGGUAUAAAGUUUAAAGCUCACGUGUCCCUUCUGUUCACAGAAGAGUUUAGUGCUCAUGUGUCCCUCUUACUUACAAAAGAGCGCAAUGCUCAUGUGUCACUCCUAAGCAAGAGCUUAAUGCUCACAUGUCCCUGGUGCUUAUAAAAGAGCUUAAAGCUCAUGUGUCCCGGUUGCUUAUAAAAGUGCUUAAGACUCACGUGUCCUUGCUUAAAAUGCUCAUAACCCAAUGAUUACGAAAUAGCUUGAUGAUCAUGUGUGAAAGCGCUUGAUGCUCAAAUGUCCCUGUUGCUUAUCUAAAAACUUUCUCGAGUGUCCCUGUUGCAUAUGAAAAGAGCUUAAUGCGCACGUAUCCCUCAGAGCUGAUGCUCACAUGUCCCUCAUGUGUCCCUGUGGCAUAUGAAAGAGCUUACAGCUCACUUGUCCCUAUCAAUUAUAACAGAGCUUAAAGCUCACUUGUCCCUAUUCCUUAUUAAAGCGCCUAAAGCUUACGUGUUCCGUGUUGCUUAUAAAAGAGUUUCAAGUUUACUUGCCCCCAUCACUUAUAAAAGAGCUUAAAGCUCACAUAAAAUAGCAUGAAGCUCACUUGUCCUUGUGAAUUAUAAAAGAGUUUAGAGCUCACUUGUCGGUGUCGCUUAUAAAAGAGCUUAAAGCUCACUUGUCCCUACUUAUACAAGAGCAUAAAGCUACGUGUCCUGGUUGCUUGUAAAUAGCUUAUAGAUUCCUCUCUCUCUCUUAUAAAAGAGCUUAAACCUCACGUCUCCCUGUCACUUAUAAAAGAGCAUUCAGCUCACUUGUCUAUGUCUUAAAAGAGCUCAAAGCUCAUGUGUCCAUGUCCCUUAUAAAAGAGCAUGAAGCGCACGUGUCUCUGUGGCCUAUAAAAGAGCUUAAAGCUCACUUCUCCCUGUUGCUUAUCAAAGAGCUUAAAAGUUACUUGUCCCUCCCCAUUUGUAAAUGUCCCUGCGUUUAUAAAAUUGCAUAUAGCUCAUGUGUCCUUGAUGCUUGUAAAAGAGCUUAAAGCUCACGUGUCUAUAUCGCUUAUAAAAGAGCUUAAGGCUCAUGUGUC
rnacentral:lncRNA from 1 species